rnacentral:miRNA from 1 species
UAUGUAUGUGUGCAUUUGCAUGUGUAGCACAAUAUAUACACAUUUGCACAUAUAAUGCAGAUAUGUGCAUGCAUA